AGCUCAUCUCCUUGUCAAGUGUCGUACUCAAGGCCUAAACAGCUGCUACUUUGGCAAAGUUUCCUGGGACUUCAUAAGCUGUGAUCAGUGACGCUGUUACGA